UACGUAGGGUGCGAGCGUUGUCCGGAAUUACUGGGCGUAAAGCGUGCGCAGGCGGUCCGCAAAGUCUGAUGUGAAAGCCCCGGGCUCAACCUGGGAACUGCAUUGGAAACUAACGGGCUCGAGUGUGGCAGAGGGGGGUGGAAUUCCACGUGUAGCAGUGAAAUGCGUAGAGAUGUGGAGGAACACCGAUGGCGAAGGCAGCCCCCUGGGCUAACACUGACGCUCAGGCACGAAAGCGUGGGGAGCAAACAGG
rnacentral:rRNA from 1 species